rnacentral:tRNA from 1 species
CUUGGUGGCUCAGUGGUAGAGCACAUGCCUGGCAUGCAUGAAGCCCUGGGUUUUAUCCCCAGCACUGAAA